UCCUACGGGAGGCAGCAGUGGGGAAUUUUGGACGAUGGGGGAAACCCUGAUCCAGCCAUGCCGCGUGAGUGAAGAAGGCCUUCGGGUUGUAAAGCUCUUUCAGCCGGAAAGAAAUGGUUAUGGUUAAUACCCGUGACUAAUGACGGUACCGGAAGAAGAAGCACCGGCUAACUACGUGCCAGCAGCCGCGGUAAUACGUAGGGUGCAAGCGUUAAUCGGAAUUACUGGGCGUAAAGCGUGCGCAGGCGGUUUUGUAAGUCAGAUGUGAAAUCCCCGGGCUCAACCUGGGAACUGCGUUUGAAACUACAAGGCUAGAGUGUGGCAGAGGGGGGUGGAAUUCCACGUGUAGCAGUGAAAUGCGUAGAGAUGUGGAGGAACACCGAUGGCGAAGGCAGCCCCCUGGGUUAACACUGACGCUCAGGCACGAAAGCGUGGGGAGCAGACAGGAUUAGAUACCCUGGUAGUCCACGCCCUAAACGAUGUCAACUAGUUGUCGGGUCUUAACGGACUUGGUAACGUAGCUAACGCGUGAAGUUGACCGCCUGGGGAGUACGGUCGCAAGAUUAAAACUCAAAGGAAUUGACGGGGACCCGCACAAGCGGUGGAUUAUGUGGAUUAAUUCGAUGCAACGCGAAAAACCUUACCUACCCUUGACAUGUACCGAAGCCCGCCGAGAGGUGGAUGUGCCCGAAAGGGAACGGUAACACAGGUGCUGCAUGGCUGUCGUCAGCUCGUGUCGUGAGAUGUUGGGUUAUGUCCCGCAACGAGCGCAACCCUUGUCAUUAAUUGCCAUCAUUCAGUUGGGCACUUUAAUGAAACUGCCGGUGACAAACCGGAGGAAGGUGGGGAUGACGUCAAGUCCUCAUGGCCCUUAUGGGUAGGGCUUCACACGUAAUACAAUGGCGCGUACAGAGGGUUGCCAACCCGCGAGGGGGAGCUAAUCUCAGAAAGCGCGUCGUAGUCCGGAUCGGAGUCUGCAACUCGACUCCGUGAAGUCGGAAUCGCUAGUAAUCGCGGAUCAGCAUGUCGCGGUGAAUACGUUCCCGGGCCUUGUACACACCGCCAU
rnacentral:rRNA from 1 species